rnacentral:rRNA from 1 species
GACGAACGCUGGCGGCGUGCCUAAUACAUGCAAGUAGAACGCACAGUUUAUACCGUAGCUUGCUACACCAUAGACUGUGAGUUGCGAACGGGUGAGUAACGCGUAGGUAACCUGCCUGGUAGCGGGGGAUAACUAUUGGAAACGAUAGCUAAUACCGCAUAAUAUUAAUUAUUUCAUGAUAAUUAAUUGAAAGGUGCAAUUGCACCACUACCAGAUGGACCUGCGUUGUAUUAGCUAGUAGGUGAGGUAACGGCUCACCUAGGCGACGAUACAUAGCCGACCUGAGAGGGUGAUCGGCCACACUGGGACUGAGACACGGCCCAGACUCCUACGGGAGGCAGCAGUAGGGAAUCUUCGGCAAUGGACGAAAGGCUGACCGAGCAACGCCGCGUGAGUGAAGAAGGUUUUCGGAUCGUAAAGCUCUGUUGUAAGAGAAGAACGGGUGUGAGAGUGGAAAGUUCACACUGUGACGGUAUCUUACCAGAAAGGGACGGCUAACUACGUG